rnacentral:rRNA from 1 species
AUACGGGGGGUGCAAGCGUUAUUCGGAUUUAUUGGGCGUAAGGGGCGCGUAGGCGGCUUGGAAAGUCAGAUGUGAAAGCCCGGGGCUCAACCCCGGAAGUGCAUUUGAAACUAUCAGGCUUGAGUAUGGGAGAGGGAAGUGGAAUUCCUGGUGUAGAGGUGAAAUUCGUAGAUAUCAGGAGGAACACCGGUGGCGAAGGCGACUUCCUGGACCAAUACUGACGCUGAGGCGCGAAGGCGUGGGGAGCAAACAGGAUUAGAUACCCUAGUAGUCC